CCUACGGGUGGCAGCAGUGAGGAAUAUUGGUCAAUGGGCGAGAGCCUGAACCAGCCAAGUCGCGUGAGGGAGUACUGCCCUAUGGGUUGUAAACCUCUUUUGUCGGGGAGCAAAAGCCGGACGUGUCCGGCUGUGAGAGUACCCGCAGAAAAAGCAUCGGCUAACUCCGUGCCAGCAGCCGCGGUAAUACGGGGGAUGCUCGCGUUAUACGGAUUUUUUGGGUUAAAAGGGGGCGCAGGCGGAUUGUAAUGUCAGCGGGAAAAUCGUGGGGUUAAAACCCGGCCAGCCGUGGAAACUGGGGAGCUAGAGUGUGCGAGAGGUAUGCGGAAUGCGUGGUGUAGCGGUGAAAUGCAUAGAUAUCACGCAGAACCCCGAUGGCGAAGGCAGCAUACCGGUGCACAACUGACGCUGAGGCACGAAAGCGUGGGUAGCGAACAGGAUUAGAUACCCCUGUAGUC
rnacentral:rRNA from 1 species